GAAGGGGGCUAGCGUUGUUCGGAAUUACUGGGCGUAAAGCGAACGUAGGCGGUGUUCUUUGUCAGAGGUGAAAGCCUGGGGUUCAACUCCAGAAUUGCCUUUGAAACGGGAACGCUUGAGUCCGAGAGAGGGUGGCGGAAUUCCUAGUGUAGAGGUGAAAUUCGUAGAUAUUAGGAAGAACACCAGUGGCGAAGGCGGCCACCUGGCUCGGUACUGACGCUCAGGUUCGAAAGCGUGGGGAGCAAACAGGAUUAGAUACCCUGGUAGUCCACGCCGUAAACGAUGAGUGCUAGUUGUUGGGAAGUUUACUUCUCAGUGACGCAGCUAACGCGAUAAGCACUCCGCCUGGGGAGUACGGCCGCAAGGUUA
rnacentral:rRNA from 1 species